ensembl:lncRNA
CCAAUCCUGGUCUAAAUCGAAUAUGAAAGACCAAUCAUGAAAACAUUAUCUUUAGCUCACUUUUCUACAUCAUAUGAGUAACUAUUGGCUGCUAGUAACUCAUACUUUCGCUCCAAUCCUGAGGGGGUAGGUUGAUGAUGUCUGAGUGGCCUGGAGGUCAAAGGCCUCAUACUCAGUAUUGAGCAUGACUACAGAAUUGGGCUCGACAGCAACAGCAGCAUGUUCUUCAGCUCCAUUCUGUGCAGUCACAGGAUCUCUCACUUCAGUCAGCUUCAGAAGUGAGAAGAGCCCCUCAUCCUCUCCUCUGCCCUCAGCAUAUGGGGAGCCUACACCCAGAAAGAGGAAGCAGUGGGAGUGUGAGAUUCUGCUGGAGGAAGAAAGAAACAGAAAGCCCAUGUCAAUAACAGUAUAUUAUUUUUUUUUAAAUACAUACCUGAUGAUAGAACAUACACUAUGUGGGUUUUUACUCACCUUGCGAAAUCUUGGUAUUUUUCAUCAUGACAAUGACAAUGGCAGUAACAAACAGGCAGGAGAAGAACAAGGCUCCCGCUACAUACAGUGGUAUGUAAGGAUCCCCUUUUAAUAAAACACAAAGCAUUCAGAAUGAAGAUCAAUUAGGUAUUAUUCAUGAUCAUUUUAUCUAUUAGUAAUAACAAUAUACUGUGACUCACCAGGAGUAUAUAACAGGGCUGUGUCAUUCCUGUUGGGGUGGUUGUUGAAUUCUCCAUUCACAGUGACUGUGACAUUAGUUAUUACCUUCCAGUGCCCUUUUCUAUUCUUAAGCACCUGUAAGGCACAAACAUACUGUCCGCUGUCUGAAUAUGUGGCAUUGCUGAUCUUAAGGUUAUGAAAGAUAGGGCUUGUUAGGGGUUUAGAUGAAGUGUUUGACCUUCGUUUCAGCAGGGCCUCAUCAAUGAGACAAUGGUGGUCAUAUAAUUGUGCAUCACUAUCAUAAGAAUUAGAAUAAAGACAUGUGCUACUGUUGCCACUGAUGGUUUUGAUCCAAUACACUGAAAAUGGAAAGCUAGAGUAACCUUUGGCUACUGUGAAAUUACAUGCAAGGUUGACUGAUUCUCCAUGCUGUUUGGUAACAGAUGUUUUAGUUUCCACACCAGGGUAGCAUAUCACCACUACAGAAACAGAACAUAAUUUGAUGUUAAAUAUUUUCAUAAACAGAUAUGUCUAUAUACAAUAUAUUGUACAGUAUACUGUAAUGUGAGUUGUAUAUCAUUUAGAAAUUGUGAAA